rnacentral:rRNA from 1 species
CCUACGGGAGGCAGCAGUGGGGAAUAUUGCUCAAUGGGGGAAACCCUGAUGCAGCAACGCCGCGUGAGUGAUGACGGCCUUCGGGUUGUAAAACUCUGUCUUCAGGGACGAUAAUGCCGGUACCUGAGGAGGAAGCCAGAGCUAACUACGUGCCAGCAUCCGCGGUAUUACGUAGGUGGGCAGCGUUGUCCGGGUUUACUGGGCGUAAAGGGAGCGUUGGCGGGGUUGUAAGUGAGAUGUGAAAUACUCGGGGUCAACCUUCGUGCCGGCUUUGAAACUGACAGUCUAGAGUGCAGGAGAGGAGAAUGGAAUUCGUGGUGUAGCGGUGAAAUGCGUAGAGAUUAGGAAGAACACCAGUGGCGAAGGCGAUUCUCUGGCGUGUAACUGACGCUGAGGCUCGAAAGCGUGGGGAGCGAACAGGAUUAGAUACCCGAGUAGUC